UACGUAGGUGGCAAGCGUUGUCCGGAUUUACUGGGCGUAAAGAGCGCGCAGGCGGUCGUUCAAGUCGCGUGUGAAAGCCCCCGGCUCAACUGGGGAGGGUCACGCGAUACUGAUCGACUCGAAGGCAGGAGAGGGUAGUGGAAUUCCCGGUGUAGAGGUGAAAUUCGUAGAUAUUAGGAAGAACACCGGUGGCGAAGGCGGCCCACUGGAUCGGUACUGACGC
rnacentral:rRNA from 1 species